GCCGGUCUGAGAGGAUGAACGGCCACACUGGAACUGAGACACGGUCAGACUCCUACGGGAGGCAGCAGUGGGGAAUUUUGCACAAUGGGGGAAACCCUGAUGCAGCGACGCCGCGUGAGCGAAGAAGUAUUUCCGUAUGUAAAGCUCUAUCAGCAGGGAACAAAAUGACGGUACCUGACUAAGAAGCCCCGGCUAACUACGUG
rnacentral:rRNA from 1 species